AACGAACGCUGGCGGCAUGCCUAACACAUGCAAGUCGCCCGAAGGCUUCGGCCUUAGUGGCGCACGGGUGCGUAACGCGUGGGAAUCUGCCCCUCGGUUCGGAAUAACAGUUAGAAAUUCCUGCUAAUACCUGCUGCUGACUUCGGUCCAAAGAUUUAUCGCCGAGGGAUGAGCCCGCGUAAGAUUAGGUAGUUGGUGGGGUAAAGGCCUACCAAGCCGACGAUCUUUAGCUGGUCUGAGAGGAUGAUCAGCCACACUGGGACUGAGACACGGCCCAGACUCCUACGGGAGGCAGCAGUGGGGAAUAUUGGACAAUGGGCGAAAGCCUGAUCCAGCAAUGCCGCGUGAGUGAUGAAGGCCUUAGGGUUGUAAAGCUCUUUUACCAGGGAUGAUAAUGACAGUACCUGGAGAAUAAGCUCCGGCUAACUCCGUGCCAGCCGCCGCCGUAA
rnacentral:rRNA from 1 species